CACACAUCCGCGUACGCUGCAGCGGGGUCCCCAGUCUCAGGGAACCCAACGAUCCAGCCCGUGCCCCGGCAGCAAUUCAUGGGACCUCCCCCAACCCUGGUUCCUCUGGCCUCUUGGCUGUACUGCUGCCUGGCUCCACACUACAAAGUCACAGAGAACACCGGACCACCAGACCACUGUACUGGAUGGUCUGUCAUCUGUUCCGUGCCUUGGGCAGCAACCGGAACACAGCCGAGGAGCUUCGCGUUCCUUGGCUGAACCAUGGCGAAGAGCACAGGAUGAAGGCGGGGCUCCAAGCUGGUCCCGGGACCUCACCAUGCCGUGGGCAGGAACUGGAACUGCUCUGUGUUCUUUUUUACUUCCAUUGCUCAUAAUUGUUUCACCUUCAGAUUCAUAAAGUCAUUUUUUCCCUAGUCGAAUUUACAAAAUUCCUUCAGUUAAUUUUUAUUAUAGCUAUCCAUUUUGUAGAAUCAAAAUUUUUAUUUUGGUUCAUUUCAUAUUUUCUAUUUCUUUUUUUACUAUUUACUUGUUCUUGAAUCAUUCUCCUGAUUUCCUUUAGGUAUUUAUCUAUUGGUUCUUUCAGUUCAUUGAGCACAUUAAGGACAGUUAAAAAUAUUUAUCUACAAAAUUCCAUUUCUUGACUUUCUUAUUGAUGAUUUCUUUCAAUUUCUAGUUUUUCUUUGAAUUGGCUAACACUUUUUACUUCUCUGUUUGCUUUGUAAUUUUUUUUCAUUAAGAAUUGGACCUUUUUAAAUAUGACAGUGAGGUAAUACUGGAAUAAAAUUGCUU
rnacentral:lncRNA from 1 species